GAUAAACUGUUGGAAAAAGAUGCAUUUUAAUUUUUAUACAAAACUAAUUAUCUUGGCUUUAAAUUAUUUGGCUCGAAAAUUUCAGAAUUCAAACCGCCUAUCUGUCGUCUCAUGAAAAUUGUAGACCGCCACAAAUUAGAAAAUUUCAAAAUUUUUAACGAUGUUAAUGGAAAAUUUCAGACCACCAUUACAUCAAUUCCCCAAGUGACAUCUCUUCUCUCACUCUCGUGGCUGAAUCCUUCCCUGUGACGAGACUCACCAAACACCACGGUAGCCCGAAGAUUCCCCAAGUCGUAGCCCACGGCAUUUCGCGCCUUAACGUUGUCGCGGAGUCUUCCCUUGGACUUCACCGGCCGCCGACUUCGUCUCUUCUUCACCGGUUAUCUUCCAUCCGUGCGUUCCUCAGAAACUUACAAUGUCAUUGCUUAUAAAGAUACACCACAAUUAACACCACACAAGAGAUAAAACAUCAACUGGGAGAACAUUUCGUCUCUUGCAACUGUAGGCCUCACUGAAGAAGAAUCAAUAGAGCAAGGAGAAGACUGCUUUUUUGAGAUAUAUAUUUUAACUUAUAAAGAUUUUUUAUAUAUAUAUAUAUAUAUAUUUAUAUAUAUAUAAUCUAACUUGACAAAUGUAUGAAUUUGUUUGUAAGAAUAUUGUUACUGUUAUUAUAUUUUUUUAUCAUUGUAAAUCGAAAAUCUAAAUUCUAAAAAUGUAGGGGGAGAAUAGCAUUAACAUUUGUAAUUUCUCUCUUACCUCAUAUUGUACGUCGGUUUAUAACUGUCAUUUAUAGUAGUGUAUUUUGUUGGUUAUAA